rnacentral:rRNA from 1 species
UACAGAGGGGGCAAGCGUUAUUCGGAAUUAUUGGGCGUAAAGGGCGCGUAGGCGGCUUGGCAAGUGGAAGGUGAAAUCCCUCGGCUCAACUGAGGAACUGCCCUCCAAACUGCUUUGCUUGAGGCCGGGAGAGGCGAGUGGAAUUCCCAGUGUAGCGGUGAAAUGCGUAGAUAUUGGGAGGAACACCAGUGGCGAAGGCGGCUCGCUGGACCGGUUCUGACGCUGAUGCGCGAAAGCGUGGGGAGCGAACAGG